AUACUUAACUGGCAGGGGAGAUACCAUGAUCACAAAGGUGGUGUUUCCAGGGCGAGGCUUAUCCAUUGCAUUCCAAAUGUGCUGACCCCUGCAAGUUUCCCAAAUGCAGGAAACUCACUGCAUAAUAUGUGGUAGUGGGACACUGUGUUCACUCUCUCCCU
rnacentral:snRNA from 1 species